ensembl:lncRNA
CGGCUCAGGGGGAGCCUGUUCUCUCUGCCCGAGUCUGCUCCGUCAGCACAAAAAAGCCUCCACAAGAGGAAGCUGCAGUUUGAAGAGGCAAAGGGCAUUCACUAGCUAAAAAUAAGAAAGGGAGCUCAGAGCCGGACACCAUCGGUGGCAGCCGCCCGACGGGCCCUCCUGCUACCUAGAGCAGGCGCAAACCUCUACGGAGCUGGUGGCCAGCCUGCCUGCGGCUCGGACACUCCUUAGGUGGGUCAAGAGGGCCUCGUCAGCCACAGCCGCUGCCGCCUCCUCUCUGGACCCAAAGGAAAAUGCCACUGAGCCAACGGAGGCCUCUUCCCACUUAGCCCAGGGGAUGGCCUCAUGGCAGCCUCCAAAGAUGGCGCCCUUCCCCUGCCACGGGGAGGCCACUGACAUCCCACGAUGGCAGAUGGAAGGUGACAGAGCCUCCUACAGAGGCCAACCAUGGACAUUGGCUGAUAGGCUGAGAGAGACCAUUAUCCUCCUGAACUCUGGAAUCCAACCGGACCCAUUAAUCUCCUUGGAUGGUGAAUCAAAUUAAUCCUCUCCCUCGAUGGCUGCAGAGUGACAAGCUUGGGGAGAGGAAAAGAGAGGCUGUCAGCACAUAUGGAUGGCCGUGGCAGUACUGGUUUAUUAAAUGGAGAGGCCAGUGGGGCCAUCUCAUCUUGGGAAGCUGAUUGGCUCGGGGUCUGUGCUAGUCCCUUACUAAGACUUAAAGAGACCUGAAGAAGAACUCAAGGCAUCCUUAAUGGGAAGCGAUAAGCCCUGCUUUGGCUCAUUUAUUUAUUUAGUUUGACUCAUUUUGAGAAAGGUUGGGCUCUGACUAGGCAUAUCACAUCUCCCUUGAGCCUCAGUAUUAUCUAUAAAAUGGAGAGGGGGAAGAGUUGGAUUGGGAGACCUCAGGGGACCCUUCUAGUUCUGCUUCUAGGGCCCAAAGGCUUUGGGGUGAAGAAGACAGGCUGAGGUUCUCUCUGUAUUGUUGUUGAGGCAAAGAUGUGACCAGGCUCUGGCCAGGGACAGGAUACAAAGAACAGCUCACGUUUCUCUAGUGCUGUAACUACCUUGUUUCAUGGGGUCCUCAUUACAGCCCUCUGGGGUUGGCUUCUUCUUAUCCCCAUUUUACAAAGGAGGAAAAGGGGUGGAGUAACUUGCCAGGAUCACACAGUUGGCAUGUGAACGAGGUAGAGUUCCAAGCUAGGUCCUCCUGAGCAUUGUUGACACUGUGCUACCCCGCCUUCUAGAACCCAAGCCUGGAGGGUGAUGACCUUUUCCUGCUAGACUGAGAAGAGGAAAAGGGGACCCAAGAGGUCAUUCAGUCCAAACCCAUCAUUUUACAGAUGAAAUAUAAGCCCCAGAGGCUCAUUGACUUGCUCAGGCAUACAGGAGGAAGGAAAUGGGGCUGGAAUUUGAAGUCACCUGCUUCACCUUCCUCUUCUGUCUCUAAACCUUCCACCUUGUUGAUGGCUCAAGAGAAGUCUUCCCCAAGGUUCACUUUCCAAGCUCAGAUCUUUCUCUAACCUUUACCUCUCUGAGGCUCAGUU